rnacentral:tRNA from 1 species
GGGCGAUUAGCUCAGUUGGUUAGAGCGCGUCACUGAUAAUGACGAGGUCCGAAGUUCGAAU